rnacentral:misc_RNA from 7 species
AAACCACAAGGGGAGCCGAAGCUCCCCCAGAAUUAGUUGCGUGCUCUGUUUUUAUUAUGGUUUUCGGGCUUCUUGUUUUUGUGAGUGCCCUCGCCACGAGGUUUCCCUUCGUGACCCUCCCAAUCGGGAGCCAAGAGCAAACGGAUUGCUUUGGUCGCUGAGUUGCAGUGAUCGAUCGAUCCAACCAGUUCAGGCAGCUGUCUUGAGACAGUU